AAAUCCAUAGAUUUAUUAUAUAUUCCAGGUUUACAGCUGCUUGGACUUUCUCUAUCAUAGAUAAAGUUUUUUAUUUCUUCACAUGAUAGGUAUUUUAGUUUCCCGGGGGACUAAUGUCAAACAGAGUACACACCAACAAGACCAAAAGCAGCCAAAGUAAUUUUUAAUCAGAAAGCUUGUGAGAGUGUGGGGGAACUGGAAAAAGACAGGAGACAGUUGUAUCCCCGAAGUGGAGCACCAACAGAUGUGUCAGUUCCUGUUGCCUUUGACUGUACAUGAUAACAUUCCAUCCAUCCUGAUGUUUGUAAACAGAUACUUGGAUAUCCAGCCAGCCUAAAUCUCUGCCACAGCCCACAGAAAUAGCCUAUGCAGAAGUAAUCCCAUAAAAUAGCUGACACAGCCAAGAGGAGGUCCCUGUUAAGAAGUGGCAGCUCAUAGCUGCCUACAGGACUGAAGCCAUCAAGCCCCAUCCAUUUAUCUGCAAUGGAGAAAUAGCUGGAAAGGAUAGGCUGGGUCAGGUAGGCAAGGAUUACAAUAGUAAGAUUAUUGUCUUUGAUGUGUACAUAUUUCAGUGGUUUCAACAAAAUAUUGUCAUGACUGUUUACCUACUCAUAUGUUGGGACUGCCUCAUUUAUUUUUCUCACACCUGAUAAUUUUAAUGAAGC
rnacentral:lncRNA from 1 species